CCGAGAGGCCCCGCCCGGUGCCGCCCUGCCGGGGCGGGCACUGAGGCGUCCGCGGGCGCCCCCGCUGGCGGCCGAGGACAGCGCGCCGCCGGCUCUCCUCACACCGGACUGAGGAGAGGAGCGCGAUGCUGGCGAAGCUGGCCAGGCUUGUGGCUCUGCGGAGAACCCGCCUCCUCUCCGGCCAGGGCGGCGGGAAGGGACUGUGGACGGGCCGCCCGCAGACAGAUGCUGACAAUGUGAAACCAUUGGAAGGUGUAAAAAUUCUGGAUCUAACAAGAGUACUGGCGGGACCUUUUGCUACUAUGAAUUUGGGAGAUCUUGGAGCUGAAGUUAUAAAAAUAGAACGACCAGGAGCUGGUGAUGAUACACGAACUUGGGGGCCGCCUUUUGUGGGGACAGAAAGUACAUAUUUUCUGAGUGUUAACCGAAACAAAAAGAGUAUAGCUGUGAAUAUCAAGGACCCAAAAGGCGUGAAAAUCAUCAAAGAGCUUGCAGCUGUUUGUGAUGUCUUUGUUGAAAACUAUGUUCCUGGCAAACUGUCCGCAAUGGGCCUGGGCUAUGAAGCUAUAGACAGAAUUGCUCCUCACAUCAUCUAUUGCUCCAUCACAGGGUUUGGUCAGACAGGUCCGAUGUCUCAGCGAGCUGGUUAUGACGCUGUUGCCUCUGCUGUUUCUGGUCUAAUGCACAUCACAGGGCCAGAGGAUGGAGCUCCAGUUCGUCCAGGAGUAGCCAUGACUGAUCUUGCCACUGGCCUAUUUGCCUAUGGAGCCAUUAUGGCUGGUUUGAUACAAAGAUAUAAAACUGGAAAAGGCCUGUUCAUUGAUUGUAACCUACUAUCAUCUCAGGUGGCAUGUUUGACCCAGGUUGCUGCUAAUUACCUUAUUAGUCAAAUGGAAGCGAAACGUUGGGGCACAGCUCACGGCAGUAUUGUUCCUUACCAGGCUUUUAAAACCAAGGAUGGCUAUGUUGUAGUUGGAGCAGGAAAUAACCAACAGUUCGCCACCGUGUGUAAGAUAAUGAGUUUACCUGAGUUGAUUGAUGAUUCCAAGUAUAAAACUAACCAUCUUCGGGUACAGAACAGAGAUGCGCUUAUUAAAAUACUAUCAUCACGGUUUGAAGAAAAAACGACCAACAAGUGGUUACAUCUCUUUGAAGGUAGUGGCAUCCCAUAUGGUCCAAUCAACAACAUGAAGAACGUAUUUGCAGAACCUCAGGUGCUGCACAAUGGCCUCAUCAUGGAGAUGAAACAUCCAACAGCAGGGACGAUUUCAGUUCCAGGUUGAAUGGGCCAACAUUUAGGAAAGGAAGAACGGAAAGACAAACCCAUGAUGUACAUAGAAAGAUGCCUGUUUGUUCUUCUGUUCUCUUCCUUGGGUGGAGGCAGCGCAAGGACUCACCAGCAGGUGCCCAGAGGCAGUGCCAUGCUCUUGAACUUUCCAGGCCUCAGAACUGGUUGUGCAAAUCUGUUCUUCAAACAUCACCUGCCUUCACGUAUUCUGUUACAAACAUAGAAAAAAGACAAGGAUUUCUUUCAAAAAGCCCAAUGUAGGCUUCAAGAUAAUGACUUAUCAUGUAGAUGCCAAGCAAUGCUGAAAAGGAGAUACACACUGGCCACUAUCUAAUGGCAAUGCAGAAAAAAGCUUUCAAGAGGAUCCAUGUGUCUCAACCUAAGAAUUUCUGCGCCAAGGCUCUGAGGAAGUUCUCUUGACCACCCACAAGAGCAGUGCACUGUAAAUGCACCAAAGGAGAUGGCUCUGGAUGAGGCACAAGUUUCCUUCGUUUCACAGAGUAAAGAAACCAAUUUUAUGAAUAAUUCCCAGCAAUGCCCGAGUUAAAAUCUUCUGGUGUUUUGGAAACUAAACCACUGAUGAAUCAUCAUAUUGAUGAAUGACCACACAAACUCAGACCACACAGGACUUUAAACUGG